rnacentral:rRNA from 1 species
AACGAACGCUGGCGGCAUGCCUAACACAUGCAAGUCGAACGAGAACUUCGGGUCUAGUGGCGCACGGGUGCGUAACGCGUGGGAACCUGCCCUUAGGUUCGGAAUAACUCCCCGACAGGGGUGAUAAUACCGGAUAAUGUCUUCGGACCAAAGAUUUAUCGCCUUUGGAUGGGCCCGCGUUGGAUUAGCUAGUUGGUAGGGUAAAAGCCUACCAAGGCGACGAUCCAUAGCUGGUCUGAGAGGAUGGUCAGCCACACUGGGACUGAGACACGGCCCAGACUCCUACGGGAGGCAGCAGUGGGGAAUAUUGGACAAUGGGCGAAAGCCUGAUCCAGCAAUGCCGCGUGAGUGAUGAAGGCCUUAGGGUUGUAAAGCUCUUUUACCCGGGAGGAUAAUGACAGUACCGGGAGAAUAAGCUCCGGCUAACUCCGUG